GGGAGGUAGUGACAAUAAAUAACAAUACAGGGCCUUUACAGGUCUUGUAAUUGGAAUGAGUACAAUUUAAAUCUCUUAACGAGGAACAAUUGGAGGGCAAGUCUGGUGCCAGCAGCCGCGGUAAUUCCAGCUCCAAUAGCGUAUAUUAAAGUUGUUGCAGUUAAAAAGCUCGUAGUUGAAUUUUGGAUUCUUCCAAUUGGUCCAUCUUUUAGAUGAGUACUGGUUGUGUGGGGUCUAUCCGCCUGGUGAUACGUAAUGUCCUUUAUUGGAUGUUGCGGGUAGUCAGGACCUUUA
rnacentral:rRNA from 1 species